CACGAGGAUGCCUAGUAAGCGCGAGUCAUCAUCUCGCGUUGAUUACGUCCUGCCCUUUGUACACACCGCCCGUCGCUCCUACCGAUUGAACGUGCUGGUGAAGCGUUAGGACUGGAACUUUGGGCCGGUUUCCUGCCCAUCGUUUCGGGAAUUUCGUUGAACCCUCCCGUUUAGAGGAAGGAGAAGUCGU
rnacentral:rRNA from 1 species